rnacentral:lncRNA from 10 species
CCGGCAACAGUCGGGAGGCAGGUGGGGCGCUCAGGGUGUCCCCUCCGGCCCAAACUCCCUUGGCCUCCCUGCCCUAGCAGAGGCCCGGUAUCCUCCUUCGGCCCAGGUCACCCCCUACCACGUGCAGCGAUGCCCCGUGGGCAGGCCAGCUCUCCCCACUCCCUCCCCCAGCGAAGCCAUCGCGGUGCAGAGGACACAAGGCACAGAGGGCUUGGCCUGUAGCCAGCAAGAGUUCAAGAAGACACGGCGGCCUGGCACCACUUCCUGACAGAUCUCCGAACCCAUCACGGCCACCCUGUCCCAGCAGGUGCGUUGGCCGCCGUGGACUUGCGAAUGUGGGCAAUAGAGACAAGACUGAACGUAGCCGGAGGCGGAGCCAGGAUCCUCGGGGCACAGGCGGUGCAUGGAGACCCAUAAAUGGAGAAACUGAGGCCUGGGCCAGGCAGGCUCACACCCUGAUGGGCAGCCUGUACAUCAACGGUCCCUCCACCCCCAGGUGGGGACGCCCCUGGCCCUGUCCCCACCCAUCCCCUGCCUCUGCCACCAUCCCUCUCCGUCACCACUCCCCCCUCCCAUCUCAUCAUGAGACUCUCUUGGUCCCCUGGGGGUGGAGCCCUUGGUAGCCCCCAGGAGUGGGGGCUGCUGGGACUGCAGUGGGAGGGGAGGGGCAUGGGCUCUGGCCACUAAAUCAGUCCACGCUUGUCACCAGCUCUGGGCCGCGGGAGCC